rnacentral:tRNA from 1 species
GGCCGCCUGGCGAAAUGGCAUCGCGUCUGACUACGAAUCAGGAGAUUGCAGGUUCGAGACCUGCGGUGGUCA